rnacentral:rRNA from 1 species
UACAGAGGUCCCAAGCGUUGUUCGGAUUCACUGGGCGUAAAGGGCGCGUAGGCGGAUGGCACAGUCAGAUGUGAAAUUCCCGGGCUUAACCUGGGGGCUGCAUUUGAUACGUGUUGUCUUGAGUUCGGAAGAGGGUCGUGGAAUUCCCAGUGUAGAGGUGAAAUUCGUAGAUAUUGGGAAGAACACCGGUGGCGAAGGCGGCGACCUGGUCCGACACUGACGCUGAGGCGCGAAAGCGUGGGGAGCAAACAGG